CCCUUUCCUCUACCCCGUCAAAACUCAAAAUAAGAACUCAGCCGACUUUAAAAGCCUUUGUAAUUUCUAACAAACAAUUUUUUUGACCUCUGCUGCCCUACCAGACACCACUGCUGCGCAGCCACCACCGGCAUUACUUUGUCUGCCAAUUAAAUCACUAUGGCGUACCAAGGGGGGAACUUGAAGUCCACUGCCAUAAAUGGAGUGAAGAUGUAUACUGUCGCUGGCCAACAUCGUUCUGUGGCUACAUGGAUUCCUCCUAAGAAGCAAAGAGCCCUUCGUAAAGAUCCAGGUUAUAUGACAAGAGUGGAUCUGAUUCAAGAUUUGAGAUUUGAAACUGCAACAACAAGAAUUAAAGUGACCCCUGACGGGGAGUAUCUCAUCGCCUCAGGUAUCUACCCACCACAAGUUAAAGUGUAUGAGCUGCGGGAGCUGUCAUUGAAGUUUGAAAGGCAUUUGGUGUCAGAGAUUGUUAACUUUCAAGUCUUGGGUGAUGACUACUCAAAAAUAGCAUUUCUUUGUGCUGAUCGUUCUGUUUGCCUCCAUGCAAAAUAUGGAAGUCACUACAAAUUGCGGAUUCCAAGGAUGGGAAGGGAUAUUGAUUAUGAUUGCUGGUCUUGUGAUUUGCUUUGCGCGGCCUCAUCACCAGAUCUCUACAGAAUAAAUUUGGAGCAGGGACGCUUCCUUUCCUCACUGAGCACACGAUCUCCAGCACUUAAUGUGGUUUCACGGAGCAAGGUCCAUGGAUUAGUCGCUUGUGGUGGGGAGGAUGGUGCUCUCGAAUGCUUUGACAUGAGAGCAAGAUCUUCAGUUGGCAGGAUAAAUGCUGUUGCGCCUGCUGGGGAUGGGGACCAGGAGGUUACUGCGAUAGAGUUCGAGGGAGACGGAGGUUACCUCAUGGCUGUUGGAAGUAGUGGUGGAAAGGUUCUGAUUUAUGAUUUGCGAUCUUCUCAACCUAUGCGGAUAAAGGAUCAUAUGUAUGGGAGCCCGAUACUGAACAUCAAGUGGCAUAAAACGCUAAACACUGAACGGACAAAGUUAAUAACUGCUGACAGCCACAUUGUUAGGAUUUGGGACCCUGAGACGGGAGAAGGCAUGACAAGCAUUGAACCGACGGGUGGGAGAAUCAAUGAUUUGUGUGCAUUCACUGGCAGUGGAUUGAUGUUGUUGGCUCUUGACUCCAGUCAAAUACCUUCAUAUUUCAUACCUUCUCUGGGACCUGCGCCCAAGUGGUGCUCUUACCUUGAAAACCUGACGGAAGAGCUUGAGGAGCAACCUCAAACAACUAUUUAUGAUGAUUAUAAAUUUUUGACAAAGGAAGAUCUGGAAAAGUUGAAUUUGACCAAUUUGAUUGGAACCAACCUUCUAAGAGCUUAUAUGCAUGGUUACUUCAUCGAUUAUCGGCUGUAUAAAAAGGCACAAGCGUUGUCAAAUCCAUUUGCUUAUGAUGAGUACAUAGAGCAGCGGAAGAAGGAAAAAUUUGAAAAAGAGCGUGACGGUCGUAUCACGAUUAAGAGGAAGCUUCCUAAAGUUAAUCGCACUCUGGCUAAAAGUCUUGAGGAUGAAGAAGCUGACAAUUUGAAGGAGGAUGUUGAUGGCGUUGAUGCGAAGAAGACAUCAAAGAAGAAGAAAGGACUGACCAGUGACAUAAUGAAAGAUGAACGUUUCAAGAGCAUGUUUGAAAUUGGGGACUUCGAAAUUGAUGAAAAUUCUCACGAGUAUCGGGCAUUGCACCCUAUGCCUUCCUUAAAGCAACCAUCUUUAGUGGAGGAACAUUUUGAACCUGUGAUGGGCGGUGAGGAGCCUAGUGAUUCUGAUGCGUCUGAAGAUGAACAAGUAAAUGAAAAAAAUUCUAGAAAGAAGUCAAAAGUUCCGAGAAUGUAUGAAGUCAAGGAUGAGAGGCAUGCAGAUGCAUUCAGGAACCAUGUUUCACUUACAAAGGAAGAUGCUCUUCCACUGGGUGAAAGGGUUGCAGCUUUGUCGAAUGACCGAGCUUCUCGUGAUAUGAACAAUAUCAAGGUGGGGCCCGGAGGUUCAAGAGAAGUUUCCUUUGUUUCCAGAAGCGCAGCGAAGUAUGUGGAAGAUGAAGGCGAGAGGGAAACACGAACUGAAAAGAGAAGAGGGAUCCAGUCCUUGAAACUGAAGCCUGAGAGAUCAGGUUUUCAGGGAUCGGGUUCCCAAGGCCGGGGGAGAGGAAGGGGAAGAGGAAGAGGUCGUGGAAUGGGCAGAGGAAGAGGCAGACGAUAAAUUUUACAUACAGUAUUAACAACAACUUUUGUGUCAAAAGACUAUCAGGAGCAUCAUUAUUUAUUUUUGCAAAUCGUGAUACAUCCAAAGUGCUCUUUCUCCAGAAGAAAUAGCAAAAAGUGCUUAAUCUGGAGGCCGUCGACAAAAGUUUACACUGGAGAAUUAUGGGGUGUAGUGCAUUCAUCGGACAAGGUCUAUUUGAGGAUUUGAUUGGCUGGUGCUAGACAUUGUCUUGGAUCUAUAUGCUUUGUUUGUGUGAUGUUUGCAUCAAAAUUUUGUUUAUAGAUGUAAGAUAAGAGUAUCCUGUAGGAAAUUUUACUGAUACUUCUGCUUAUCUAUGCACUGCUCAAGUGACGUGUGAGGAAAUUUUUUGUAGUUCUGUUCAACUAUGUUCAGGGCCUCUGUUCUUCUCUUCUAGCAUUCUUUUGGUGGCUGAAUAUCUAUUUGAUUAGUCAAUAUAUGGUUUUCUGUAUCCUCAU